UGGAGCAUACCAUCAAUGGCAGAUGGACAGGGUCGCGCCCUGGGUUCCGGUUCGAUUCCGGAUGUUCCGC
rnacentral:tRNA from 1 species